rnacentral:lncRNA from 1 species
CAAAAUUUUUGGGGAACUAAACAAGGCCUUAAAAGCCUACCGUGUUUCUUUUGGUGAUAUGUAGCUUUAAUUUCUAGAGGUAUCUUAAGUUAAAUUUUUAAAUUUUGAUAAAAUUUUUAAAAAAGUACUAAGAUUUAUAGUAUCAAAUUAGUACCAUUUGAUUUAUUAUAGAAUAUAUUUUUAUAAGAUACUUAUUUUAUGUUAUAGAUAUUCCUGUUGACUGACACAAAUUUUAUGAAUUGAAACUUUUAGGG